rnacentral:rRNA from 1 species
AGUGAACGCUGGCGGUAGGCCUAACACAUGCAAGUCGAACGGCAGCACAGUAAGAGCUUGCUCUUACGGGUGGCGAGUGGCGGACGGGUGAGGAAUACAUCGGAAUCUACUUUUUCGUGGGGGAUAACGUAGGGAAACUUACGCUAAUACCGCAUACGACCUACGGGUGAAAGCAGUGGAUCUUCUGACCUUGCGCGAUUGAAUGAGCCGAUGUCGGAUUAGCUAGUUGGCGGGGUAAAGGCCCACCAAGUCGACGAUCCGUAGCUGGUCUGAGAGGAUGAUCAGCCACACUGGAACUGAGACACGGUCCAGACUCCUACGGGAGGGAGCAGUGGGGAAUAUUGGACAAUGGGCGCAAGCCUGAUCCAGUCAUACCGCGUGGGUGAAGAAGGCGUUCGGGUUGUAAAGCCCUUUUGUUGGGAAAGAAAAGCAGCAGGUUAAUACCCCGCUGUUCUGACGGUACCCAAAGAAUAAGCACCGGCUAACUUCGUG